rnacentral:rRNA from 1 species
AUUGAACGCUGGCGGCAGGCUUAACACAUGCAAGUCGAGCGGGGAAGGUUGCUUCGGUAACUGACCUAGCGGCGGACGGGUGAGUAAUGCUUAGGAAUCUGCCUAUUAGUGGGGGACAACAUUCCGAAAGGGAUGCUAAUACCGCAUACGUCCUACGGGAGAAAGCAGGGGAUCAUUUGACCUUGCGCUAAUAGAUGAGCCUAAGUCGGAUUAGCUAGUUGGUAGGGUAAAGGCCUACCAAGGCGACGAUCUGUAGCGGGUCUGAGAGGAUGAUCCGCCACACUGGGACUGAGACACGGCCCAGACUCCUACGGGAGGCAGCAGUGGGGAAUAUUGGACAAUGGGGGGAACCCUGAUCCAGCCAUGCCGCGUGUGUGAAGAAGGCCUUUUGGUUGUAAAGCACUUUAAGCGAGGAGGAGGCUCUCUUGGCUAAUACCUGAGAAGAGUGGACGUUACUCGCAGAAUAAGCACCGGCUAACUCUGUGCCAGCAGCCGCGGUAA